rnacentral:rRNA from 1 species
GACGAACCGAGCGAACGUUGUUCGGAAUCACUGGGCUUAAAGGGCGCGUAGGCGGGCAUUCAAGUCUAUGGUGAAAUCCUCCAGCUUAACUGGAGAACUGCCGUGGAUACUGGGUGUCUCGAGGGAGGUAGGGGCGUGCGGAACUAUUGGUGGAGCGGUGAAAUGCGUUGAUAUCAAUAGGAACUCCAGUGGCGAAGGCGGCUCACUGGCCCGAUACUGACGCUGAGGUGCGAAAGCGUGGGGAGCAAACAGG